UCGUGCAAAGCCCUCAAAUCCCGGGAAAUAGCAGCAAAAUCAACUUCAGCACCUUGGACAGGACACGCUCCCGCAAAAUCGCGACAUGGGCACCUCGGCCCCGAAAACGCAGCGACUGGACGUGACCCUGUAGGACACAUCUGCGGGCCUGUUUAUUUUUAGUAUUGACAAAUCCUCUUUGAUUCGCCGCGUUGAAUCCACCAUACGCCCUGUAUUUCGGGAAUAGCAGCUCGUCGCCCUGGUGGAGAGAGAAAUUGGGGCCACGAGUUCCGGAUCUGUCGCCUGUCCGUAGGAUCGGCAGCUGCCCCAGCCUCGGAUGGAACGGCUCAGCUCAAGCACUCACAAAGCUCAGCUCAUCCUUUCCAGGCAAAACAAGACCUGUUGCCAUAGACGGAACCUAGACCAAUUCCCAACCAGAGUUACUCUUCAUCGGCACAAUAUCUACAUCCACAUCUCCUCCACUUCCACAUCCCGGCGCAAGCUUUGCUGAGCCAACUUCACCCUCCUGCAGCCUCACCGCGCCCUGCCCGGACGGGACGGCACCGGUCGCACCUCGAGGGCCAGUAUUGAGUAAUACUAAUGUAAGUUUUCAACUCUGCCACUCUUACGGAGAAAGGAAGCACUGCAAAAUCUUGAAGAAGCACAAGAAAGAUCCAUCUUCAUUUUGUCUGCCUUCAGAAAUGGAGAAAUUAUUCCUAUCACUAGCAAAUCCUUGAUCCUCUGGUAAUGAAAUCAGCUCAGUCUGAGCAGAGCUUACAGGAAACACAAAGUACUAUUUACAGAGAAAAGAUAAGGGAAAGGUAGGAAAAAGGACAGGAAGGGAAAGCUGUCAGAUUUAUUCUUUGCCAGGAACAGGACUGAGAGGAUCCCUUAUAUCCAUCCUAUCUCCUAGGGACAGCUCAGAAAAACUUGCCCCCGGGUUUCCAGAUCAAGUAUGCAUGUGUUAUUCAAAUCCUAUAUAUAAAUCUCCACCCCUCAAGCACUGCUUUAUGGAACCCAUAUGUUGAAGGGCAGCACAUCAGUGUGGGAUAUGGACCCGUACAGCAACAAACUCACACAGCAAGGGGAAAGAAUCCUUGAGACACAGACAACUCAUAAUGGAAAAGCUCAUCAUACAGCAACCAUGUUAAUUGCAGCCCUAUAGACAGACUGAUCAAAGGGAUAAAAUUGAUUAAACAUGCACUACCUCACCCAAAUCUGCAAGAAGCUUUCAGGUAAUGUUGACUUACCGAAUGUCUGUGAAGAAGUUCAAAUGAGUCAGCUGAAACCCAAUAAACGUGUAUGUCAGAUGGAAGCACCAGUAGCAAAGUAAAUACUACGUGGGAGAUCAGUUGAUGUCAUCUUUCUAUUCACUUCUCUCCAAAAACCCACCUUUUUCCUCUGAAGCAUUCACUGCUCUCUUAAAGAAUUACAGACAGCAGUGCUGCUUACAAAGAGCCAUUUAUUGUUCCAAGGUAUUUAUAGAACCUUUCAUCCCAAAUCCCCACACAUUUGUUGCCACCUGUUUUAAGGAAACAAAGAAAUUGGAAAGACGCGCAGCUCUUGAAAUGAGAGAGUUUGGAGGAGAGAUUUAGUU